CCAUACGUCACCAACGGGCAAACGGCGCUUUCUCAUUGAAAGAAUCGUACAGCACCAAGAUACGGCCCAGAAAACUGCUAAGCGACCUAACUAUAAAUUGCCCAUGCCCGUCGGGAGAGAAGUUCGUCAAAAAGAGAGAGAAGACCCGGAUCUGGAGGCUAACGAGCGAAUGUACUGAGAUGAAACGUCCACUCGCUUGGCUUGUAGAUAAACUUUGAAAAGGCGCCAUUACAUUGCAACGCGAGUCCAGAAGUAGUACCGACUAUUAAUUUAUUCCUUUUUAGAGCUUGUAAGACUAAAGUAGAAUAUUCUGAAAUAAAACGA